UAUGUGGCUCCAGCCCAUGCAUCUAACUACCUCCUUCCUCUUGUCAGUGUUUCCGUAAUUUUUGUGUUGUGUGUCCCGGUUCUUCACUGUUUGCUUUUCUUUAACCACUAUAAUCUCCAGGGUAAAUUUAGUUCUGUUCUAAAGCCAUUUCCAGAGGCUAACUUCCCUGACCUGCCUCCCCGCCCCACAGGCCAGGUCAGAACUCUUUUGUCUGCUGUCUGGGCAUGCUGUUUAAUUUUUCUUCAUUCUUCACAGUUUGUUAUCGGAAAUUUGUGUGAGUGUUCGAUUGAUGCCUGCCUGGUAAACCCAAGAGACGCAAGGAUCCCAUCUGUUGUUCUCCGUGUAUCUGAGCACAGAGCACAGAGCCUGGCGCAUACUCGGGCCUCAACCAAUACGUGUGGGAUGAUUGAGAAACUUCCGGGAGAAUUCCUACUCCACCGGGUUACCAGAGAGAAAGCCUCGUUCCAAGGCCUUUCCAUCUGUGUGAGAGCAGCGCCAACUGAAAGAAGAGGACUACUCAGUGGCACAGCUGAUGACGAACAUUGCUGGGGGUUGAUCAGUAUGAACGUGGACGAUCAGUCAUGGUGAAAUCUGCACAGUGGCCUGGAGGAGACGAUGGAACAUCUACCCACCCACCAACAGUGUCAGCAUCAUUCCCUAAUAUCAUGCUCCAGCAACAAGGGACUUUUCACCUUGGUUUUGUGCUGGCAGCGGGAUCUCAGCAUUUGCUUGGCCAAGCUGUCUCUCCCAAGUACCUACUCAUAUAAAUAGAUACCUUGAUUUAAUUUGGGCUUUAUUCCUUUUCUUUUUCCUUGCCUGGAACAGUGGUACGAUUAAUCUAUCCCUGGUUUGGAGUACAUUAUAUAUUUUUUUAUUGGCUUAUUAAGAGACAUUAUGCUGUGUGUUACGGGCUUGUGAACCAUCCUAAAUCCCACAGCAAAUCUGUAUUAAAUAAACUAUUA